GACGUAGGGCGCGAGCGUUGUCCGGAAUUAUUGGGCGUAAAGCGCGUGUAGGCGGCUCGGUAAGUCUGCUGUGAAAGUCCAGGGCUCAACCCUGGAAUGCCGGUGGAUACUGUCGAGCUCGAGUCCGGAAGAGGCGAGUGGAAUUCCUGGUGUAGCGGUGAAAUGCGCAGAUAUCAGGAGGAACACCAAUGGCGAAGGCAGCUCGCUGGGACGGUACUGACGCUGAGACGCGAAAGCGUGGGGAGCAAACAGG
rnacentral:rRNA from 1 species